rnacentral:rRNA from 1 species
AUGACGAAGUCUGACGGCAGCACGCCGCGUGAGCGAUGAAGGCCUUCGGGUCUGUAAAGCUCUGUUGUUAGGGAAGAACAAGUACCGUUGUAAUUGGGGGGACCUUGGCCGGACCUUAACCGAAAGCCCCCGGUAACUUCCUGCCCGCCGCCGCCGUUAUUCGUAAGUGGCAAGCGUUUUCCGGAAUUAUUGGGCGUAAAGCGCCCGCCGGGGGUUUCUUAAGUUUGAUUUGAAAACCCCCCGCUCAACCGGGGAAGGGCAUUGGAAACUGGGGGACUUGAAUGCCGAAAAAGAAAGUGGAAUUCCACCUGUUGCGGUGAAAUGCCUAAAGAUUUGGAAGAACCCCCGGGGCCAAAGCCGCUUUUUGGGCUGUUACUGAACCUUAAGGCCCAAAGCGUGGGGAGGCAAAAGGAAUAAAUACCCUGGGAAUCCCCCCCCUAAA